rnacentral:rRNA from 1 species
UACGUAGGGCGCAAGCGUUGUCCGGAAUUAUUGGGCGUAAAGAGCUCGUAGGCGGCCUGUUGCGUCUGCUGUGAAAUCCCGGGGCUUAACCCCGGGCGUGCAGUGGAUACGGGCAGGCUGGAGGCAGGCAGGGGAGAAUGGAAUUCCCGGUGUAGCGGUGAAAUGCGUAGAUAUCAGGAGGAACACCUGUGGUGUAGACAGCUUACUGGACCACUUCUGACGCUGAGACACGAAAGCGUGGGUAGCAAACAGG